rnacentral:lncRNA from 1 species
CGUGUGCAAAGUUUGGUGUCGAUUGGACAAGAAAUGUGGGAGGAGUAGGGAAAAAACAAUUUUGCGGUUUUCGCGAUUUUGCGAAAAAAAAUUAUGGACGCAAAUGGGCGUGGCCUAUGCCAAAAGAUGCAGCAGACUCCAGUGCAUAUGCGCGUACAAGUUUUUGACUGUGGGAGGUUCGGUGUGGGAGUUAUAGCCCCAAACGCGUAUUCCUUGGUAUAGCGCCACCUAGUGGCCGGCAUGUCUGGAUUUUGUCGGCUGCGUAGUCCCCACGGAUCUGGAUCUAGUCAUGCAAUUGGCGUGUCGGCACCAUUUACGGUUUGGGCUGUGGGCAAAUGGGCGUGGCCUAUGCCAAAAGAUGCAGCAGACUCCAGUGAAUAUGUGUGUACAAGGUUUUGAAUGUGGGAGGUUCGGUGUGGGAGUUAUAGCCCCAAACGCGUCUUUCCUUGGUAUAGCGCCACCUAGUGGCCGGCGUGUCUGGAUUUUGUUAUCUGAGUAGCGGUGCCGGACCUGGAUCUAGUCAUGCAAUUGGCGUGUCGGCACCAUUUACGGUUUGGGCUGUGGGCCCACUUUUAGCGCGGGAAGUAUAAUAACUAGAACUGCAAGCAGUUAUGCAGGGGUCCAAGAAGUGUGCAUUUCGCGGCACAACGCGACAAGAAAUGUGCGUUUCGCCGGCACAACGCGAAACAUGUGUUCAAAACGCAACCCUGAACCUGUGGAUAUAAAGGUUUUGACUGUGGGAGCUUCGGUGUGGGAGUUAUAGCCUAAAACGCGUUUUCAGAACAUUGGCCAAAUAGGUGAUAGACAAUGUCGUCGUUUUUUGGCGCCGCCCUGUGGCGAAAUGUUCCCAAGGACAAUUUCCUUUGCCAAAUAACUCCCGCCCACAUUAAUAAUUCUUGGCCAUAUUUUCUAUAUAGAC